rnacentral:rRNA from 1 species
AGGCCAUUGCUAUCGGGGUCCGAUUUAGCCAUGCUAGUUGUACGAGUUCAUACUCGUAGCAAAUAGCUCCGUAACACGUGGCCAAACUACCCUACAGAGAACGAUAACCUCGGGAAACUGAGGCUAAUAGUUCAUACCCGUCUCGCGCUGGAAUAGCGAGACGCGCAAAUGUUCCGACGCUGUAGGACGUGGCUGCGGCCGAUU